rnacentral:misc_RNA from 1 species
GUGAAUCAUCGAAUCUUUGAACGCAAAUUGCACUCUCUGGUAUUCCGGAGAGUAUGCCUGUUUGAGGGUCAGUUUAAAUAAAAAUAGGUGUGGUUGCUGCCUUUAGUGGUGACGCACCGGAUUUUGGUUGUGUUGCCUUCGGUUAAGUGACCUAAGCUUUUGCAUGAUUUUUUCGAAAGUAUCUAAAUGAUUGUAAGUACGUUUGCGAUAUCGAAUACUAG